AAUAAUAAUAAACUUAAAAUAUUUUUUCUUUUUUUUUUUUUUUAACAUUUUCUUUUUUUUUUAAAGAAAUCCAUUUACCUCAUCCAUGCACUUUAAAUUAAAAUGAAUUUUUGAGAGAAAAAAAAAAUCAGCUGAAAAGAGAAGAGUGUAAAAGCAAAACGCAGCACUUUUGUCAUUCUACGCCGUCCCAGCCCUUCGUUGAGAAGAUGCUCCGCCAUGUUGCAACGUACUGGAAAAUGUUGUCUUGAAGGCUAAACUGGCGUGCCUUCAGUAUUUUUUUUUUUAAUGUAUGUAUGUGCCCAUGGUGUAUAAAUGUAGAAAUGUUUCUUUGGGAUUUUUAUGUUGAUUUUUCCGCUCCCAGUGCCAUUUUAAGACUUUUUAGCUGAGUCAGUUCACCUGGCACUUAACAGCUAUGUUAGAAAAUGGCCGCCCCUGAGAUGUAAAGAUUUUUUCCCCCCUCUUUUCGUCCUUAACACCCCUCUUUCUUGGCUCCGGCCACAGACACGCUGUGGAGAGGGGUUUAUCUGUGGCCCAUUUUGGGAAGGAGCGUCUCUCUGCUCUCUGGUCCAGACUUGGACGGCCUCCAGUCGCCCCCUCCUCCCUGAAGUCCCUCUGAAAUGGAAUAUCUGUCUCCACUCUGCAAUACGCAAAAGUGCUCCAUUUGGCGUGGAACCCGCUCACACCGUUUGGAAUAGAAACCGUUGUUUGAGUUUACAUCUCUCUCCUUCGUCUCCCUGCACACCCUCCUGUCCCCGUGAACUUCUGUCCCCAUGAGUCUUCCUCUCUUACUGGAGGUCUCCGGCAGCCUGCAGAAAUGAACACAUGCCUCACUCAUGGAAGCUCCAUCAGUGCUCAGCUAAGUGCCAUCUCAGUGCAUUCGCACCCAGUGGAGCUCUAUUCCUGCAUCAUCGUCCUCCUAGACGCACAUCUCCAACCCUUUCUCCUCUGCAAAACUGGGGCAAAGAUGCAUUUCCUGGGAUAUCCCAGCCAAUGGCAGAAAUCCUCCUGGCCACAAGAACAGGGACAAUAAACAGUCUGAGGAGUGCCUAAGAGCCCUUCACUUGUCUCCUGCAAGAGCCUGUCAAUGAUUAGAGUAAUGCGCCUUUUUUCUUUUCUUUCUCAAAGCUGCACAGCGUAGUUGUGCACGCUUGUGACAGAACAUCUUCAAACUGCUUGUGCUUUCUACAGCCUUUGCUCUACAUGAACGACGACAGAUUGCUUUGAGAAACAUAAGUGUUUAUUCGUAAUUGCAUAAAAAUGGAUGUUGCAGCAGCUUGGCUGGUUGUGUGGUGCUGACCUCCCCUCUUCGCUUCAUCACCACCUUCAGUGGUGCUUCCAGGACAACAAAGGAUUACUUUAAAUGACACCGAAACCUUUUCCAGCAUCUGGAGUCUUGACCAGGCACAGAAUGUCAUGGAGGUGAAUGUUGGUUCUUCAAGCAUUUGCAAAAGGACUAUGAAUCAAGGCACAUGUGUACUUAAAAUCUGCUCAAUACAGGAAUGUUAUUUUAUUCUCCAAAAAGGGAUUAACCAUUAGACUUUUUAUUUCUCUCUCGCUCGCUCUUCUGUAUUUCACAUUAAACGCAGCCUGUCUUAUCUGAAACAUUUCUUGUGCUCAGCUGAGGGCCUCUGUGUCUUGGCCUCUUGUCAGUGUUUGGGAUUUAGGCUUUUCAGGACCUGUUUGGAAUAUGCAAGGACAGCAAGCACAGGAUGAAUGGACAUAGAAUGUAUUGUGCCAAGCUUCUUAAUGUAGAUUAUUUUUGGAGAAUCACACUAACAACCAUUCGUUUAUCUCUCAGUUGACCUAGACAUUGAAAUUAACAUUGUGUUUACUUGUUGUGUCUAUACUUUUUUUUUUUUUUUAAUGAAUUUAGGUACAUGAAACAUGUCAUUUAUUUAUGGUCCU
ensembl:lncRNA